rnacentral:rRNA from 1 species
ACUCCUACGGGAGGCAGCAGUGGGGAAUAUUGCACAAUGGGGGAAACCCUGAUGCAGCCAUGCCGCGUGUGUGAAGAAGGCCUUCGGGUUGUAAAGCACUUUCAGUAGGGAGGAAGGUAGUGUAGUUAACACCUGCAUUAUUUGACGUUACCUACAGAAGAAGCACCGGCUAACUCCGUGCCAGCAGCCGCGGUAAUACGGAGGGUGCGAGCGUUAAUCGGAAUUACUGGGCGUAAAGCGCAUGCAGGCGGCCUGUUAAGUCAGAUGUGAAAGCCUGGGGCUUAACCUCGGAAUUGCAUUUGAAACUGGCAGGCUAGAGUCUUGUAGAGGGGGGUAGAAUUUCAGGUGUAGCGGUGAAAUGCGUAGAGAUCUGAAGGAAUACCAGUGGCGAAGGCGGCCCCCUGGACAAAGACUGACGCUCAGAUGCGAAAGCGUGGGGAGCAAACAGGAUUAGAUACCCUGGUAGGAUAGCG